CAUUUCGGUGGCUGCAUUCCGUAUCGGUGACGUUCGACGUUUGAUAGUUCAUCAAAUAGUAGCGCUGUUAUUUGGUCAAUUUGGUCACCUGUCAGCUGCGCUACUGUUUUAGCAGCGCGUUUAGUAGCGACCGGUAAAGUGUCAAGUAAUGAUACUGCGCUGAAAAACGGUUUAUACUCACCACCGAAAUGAAGCUUAUGAUAAAUAAAAUACUGCUGCUUGCUGGUCACUGAUUGAAGAUCGUUCAGUGGCUACCAUUGGCCAAUCUCACCAAUGGGAUAUAAUAAGAACUGAUGCAGGUUUAUAUCUAUGUGUAUUGUCUAUUCGGAACAAAGUUAGUACGCUUUUUAAACCGAUGUUGGAUUUUUCUCCAGAUACAGGCAACCCACUUAACUUUGGAAGUAGUGCGCUGGAUUCGUCUAAAGAUAUGCUAAACAACCGGAGGAAAAUAAAAUAAUUUGUAAAAC